rnacentral:rRNA from 1 species
AACGAACGCUGGCGGCAUGCCUAACACAUGCAAGUCGAACGAGACCUUCGGGUCUAGUGGCGCACGGGUGCGUAACGCGUGGGAACCUGCCCUUAGGUUCGGAAUAACUCCCCGAAAGGGGUGCUAAUACCGGAUAAUGUCUUCGGACCAAAGAUUUAUCGCCUUUGGAUGGGCCCGCGUUGGAUUAGCUAGUUGGUAGUGUAAAAGCCUACCAAGGCGACGAUCCAUAGCUGGUCUGAGAGGAUGAUCAGCCACACUGGGACUGAGACACGGCCCAGACUCCUACGGGAGGCAGCAGUAGGGAAUAUUGGACAAUGGGCGAAAGCCUGAUCCAGCAAUGCCGCGUGAGUGAUGAAGGCCUUAGGGUUGUAAAGCUCUUUUACCCGGGAUGAUAAUGACAGUACCGGGAGAAUAAGCGCCGGCUAACUCCGUG